rnacentral:tRNA from 1 species
UAGGAUGAAAUCAAUAUAUGGUAUUUCUUUUACAAGGAAAAGAGGCUUUAUGGCCAUUCUUA